UUCCGUAUGUUUGACACCUCAUUGUUCACCGUGCUUUUGAUGUAGCGUGUCUCGAGUUUGUUUAUUACAUAGUGCCUUGUUAAAAGCGUUUCGGUUUGUCGUUGUGAUAUUUCUGUGGGAUGUUCCACUUCAAAGUGUCUGUUGUGGUCGUUUUAUUUUAACUAGAUAGUGAUGCCAGGAGCGAGCUGCUUGUGUGUUGUUGGCGCAGUGUCAAGCAGCACGGGUUAGAAGCUUUUGGCGGACGCGUCUAUGUUCGGCAAUAGAGUGGCGCCGUGCGGAUUGAUGCUGCUCGCCAAAAUGGUUCUCAUGUCCUCUAGUGUGAUCAGUGCGUCCUCGCGGUGCGGUACGGCCUGCGAGCUUGCAAUUUAGCAGUGUGAUCUACCCCCCCCCCCCUUUUAGCAGAAGCUGGAGAUUGUCUCUAACCGACCGUAACACGUCCGCAGUCCCGGCCAGAGUUCUUGAUGGGCGCAAAUUUUGUCUUUUGUUGCUGCUUGCAAGUCGGUAACCUGAUGAACUUACACCUGGACUUAUUCCGACAAGGGGCGCUCCAGGGGGUGUAGACGCCCUCAGCAGUAAGGCAAGGGGGCUCAUUCGACAGGAGAUUUUCUCGUGAGUAGGCGGAGAGGUAGCAGAUGUAGCAGGAAGUGGAGAGCUGAAGGCGCCCUUUCAAACUUCGUUUCUAAUUUGUCGCUGGCGCAUGAUUGGAGUAGGUGGGUAGAGCUACGGGAUUGGGUGAUAGCCAAGGAUUGAGCAGUGGCUUAGAAACGAGUUAAUAGAUUUGGAUGGAUGCAGACGGGGGAUUUUUUGCAGCUACUGUGCAAGGCGGAGGGCGCUCCUCACAAGGUGUAAUGUGCAAGUGCUAUGCAUGCUGAAUGCUGGUAACAUGCAAGUGCUACGCAUCUCUCAGUUACAUGUGGGCAUGGUAAUCGCUUUCAACAAGAAAAUAGGCGAUUACAAAAAAGAAGAUCCACUCGGAAGCAGUUCUUCAACUGCUUCUUCAAUUGAGGACUUCAACCAGUAACAAGAGGAGUUCUGCUGCUGACCGACCUGAAGAUGAGGACAUCUUCUCUCCAAGCAGGAGGGAGAGAGUCGCAGAGGAAAUCCUAUGCAACACAUCAAAGGAGAUUGUGAAAAGAAGUCGAGGAAGUUCGAGCAUCCACUGUAUUGGACAAAAUUACAGAGUGGUAGAUUCGAAGCUUGGAAAAGAUUCAGUGGAGUUAGUGUCGUAAGUGGAGGUGUAAGUUUCUCGAAGGAUUCUAGCCUAAGGGGAUCUCUUAAGGAGCUUGUAUGAGGCGGAUAUAAGACCCUAAGCAACCAUGCUUAAACGGUUGGCUUUUCUCAAACGGGUUUCUCUUUGAGUGACAGCAAAUUAUCUCUCCAUAAUCCAUAAGGUAAAGAAGAGUAGUGAGGCAAGGCAGGUCUCAGUUAAACAGUUAAAGGAUUCAACGGCCGAGAUAAGUCUCACGAGAGCACAAGUUCUUGCGACCCGCAAUUAGAGAUGCGGAUUUUCUAAGUUGUUUGUUAAGAGAAAUUGGUAGAAACUUGAGGGCGAAAUGCAUAUGAACGUGAGAAGGAGGUAGUAUCCCAUCUCAUUAUUUAUAUUAUAAAGAUCUCAAAGUUUCAAAAGUGAAACAUGGACCAUGCAAGGAAGAAAGCCCUCACGUUGUUUGGAUCUGUAGUGCAUUCAAGGAGAAAAGAGAAUGAAUUCUAUUUAUCAAGUGAAGAUGCCUUUGAGAAGGUAGCUACUAUAUCAAUGAGGACAUUGACCUCCUCAUAGUCUAGGAGGGUAUAAGGGUCUGAAGAGGUAGACCCUUGCACUUGCAAAGAUCGCAUGAGAGUUGAGAGCUACCUAACGCCCAAUGGAUGCUUAAAGCAUGGUGGCAAAAGGAGAGGUUGGGAGGGCCACCUUUCUAGACUCAAGGUGACUUUUAUGUGGAGGUGUGAAGGAAGUCACGAAACCUCUUAAAUAUCUCAGGUACUGGGUGCCCAAGUGGUGCAUAAGACCUAACUCUAGAUCACUUGAGUACCGAAGUGAUUAAAUAGUCCUAGGAAGUGAGUGGAGAGGAGAGGGUCUCGUCAGCCCAUUCUAGUGAGUAGCUCCAAAUGAUGACCUCGAGUUGAGGAGAGACAAUCUACAACUUGCGACGCAUUUCUUCAAAGAAGGAUACAAUGCGAGACGACUGAAGUUGUCCCAUUUGGUAAGACAACUCGACGUUGAGAGCGUCAUGGCGGCCUUAGAUGCUGACCCUAGUUAGGGCUCAAUGUAACUCACCUUGAAGGGAGUUUGGGAUUGGCUGCUCAUUCUCCUCAGCUCAGAGUCAGAUGUACUCGAUGGAUUGCAAAGAGAGCAAGAGCGCUAGUUUGUUUCCGCAAUGUUAGUCCUAUCAAGAGUCCAACGUUGUCUUCCUGAGGUUUUCAGGUAAGUGAAGAUGCCCUGUAGCGAGGCAACGUUACAUAAAUAAAGUGUUUGCUUGUGAAAAA